UCCAGACUCCUACGGGAGGCAGCAGUGGGGAAUAUUGCACAAUGGGGGAAACCCUGAUGCAGCGACGCCGCGUGAGUGAAGAAGUAUUUCGGUAUGUAAAGCUCUCUCAGCAGGGAAGAAAAUGACGGUACCUGAUUAAGAAGCCCCGGCUAACUACGUGCCAGCAGCCGCGGUAAUACGUAGGGGGCAAGCGUUAUCCGGAUUUACUGGGUGUAAAGGGAGCGUAGACGGUGAUGCAAGUCAGAAGUGAAAGCCCGGGGCUCAACUCCGGGACUGCUUUUGAAACUGUGUGACUGGAGUGCAGGAGAGGUAAGCGGAAUUCCUGGUGUAGCGGUGAAAUGCGUAGAUAUCAGGAGGAACACCAGUGGCGAAGGCGGCUUACUGGACUGUAACUGACGUUGAGGCUCGAAAGUGUGGGUAUCAAACAGGAUUAGAUACCCCUGUA
rnacentral:rRNA from 1 species